CAUUUUACAUCAUCUUCCAGACCCAAGAUCCUGAUGGCCACUUUCACAACUACCCUAUGUCACUUUUCAGUACUUUUGAGUUCUUCACCAAGACGAACAGACCUCCCAACAGUGAAAUAGACCUACCCCUUAUGUAUGACAUCAGAUAUUCAACCUUUACUGUUACUGCCACUCUCCUUACGCUCCGCUUGCUCAUUGCUGUGGUGGAUGCCACCCUGUGGAGAGUGGCUCAUGAACAGGGUUUGGAAGAGACAGAGCUGGGGUCUCAGACACAUAUGCGGCCAAUUCAGUUCAGAAGAGUUGUGGUUUUUCUUCUGGAGGAAGAACAGAACGCUUACGAGCAGAGAUGGCAGAUGUCUAGGUGGAUCCCACUGCUUUCCCUCCUGAUUCUCAUUCCUACUUUUUGAGGGUGCUCAUAUAUUGUAGGAGAUCCCAGUUGAUGUCUGUUGGAACAGAAG
rnacentral:lncRNA from 1 species